GGUCCUAUAGUCUAGUGGUUAGGACGUUGGAUUUUGAUCACCCAUCAAAAUACUCUUCCGAAGUCCCCGGUUCGAACCCGGGUAGGACCU
rnacentral:tRNA from 2 species